UAUGCUAGCCAUUUAUUGUUAAGGCUUCUUUUGGGAUUACGAAGAGAUUAUGUUAAGUAUAAUAAAAAAGUACGAUAGAAAAAUAUUUUAUUUGUUUCUAUACAUAAUAUUGUGUUCUGAAUAUCGUGAUGAGUUAAUUAUGAUAUAUUUUCUACGAUCCUACCAGAGAACGUAAAAGCAUAUUUCCAUCUCGGUUUUUGCCCGAACUCCAUUUUAUUUAGUAGCGUGAGAUAGACUUCAAUACCAAACUGAGCGUAACUAAAGUAGGUGGAGGAGACAGAUAAAUUGAGUGACGGAAUGUGAUCCACAAUAAAUCUAUUGGCAAGAGAUCUAAUAAUAAACUCAACGUCCCAAUGGAUUGAAUGAGAUUGAAA
rnacentral:lncRNA from 1 species